AAUAUCUAAANNNNNNAAAUUNNAUANNNNCGUCAAANNCAAUNNUGCACUUUUCCUUUAGUAAGACGUUGUGAUCCAUUAGGAAUUGAUAUCUUUACUGAUAUUAUUGGGCUACCAAUAGACCUAUAUNNNNNNNNUNNAUUGGCAAACAAUACAAUCGCUUAUGGUUGUGUAUAUUGUCUGGUAAGCAUAUGGUGUUCUGGUGUAGCUGCCUGAUGGAUUUUAAAGGUCAUAUUAUUAAUGUCUUCGGGCAUUACCCUUUAAGGGGUUCAUAAUAUGUACUCGAUCAACAGCGGUUAAAUUUGGGAUACCUUUAANNNNCGUCUUGAAACACGGACCAAGGAGUCUAUCUAGUAUGCAAGUAAAUGGGUAUAUUAAACCUAUUUGCGUAAAUAACUUGACUAUUCAAUGGGAUUACGAAUUAACAAUGCAAAUUGUGGUUCUUCCAUCCCGGGGUAUUUUUAUCAACAUAUACUUGUAUAUGGAAAAUAUACCAUGAGCAUACUGGAUAUGACCCGAAAGAUGGUGAACUAUGCCUGAUCAGGUUGAAGUCAGGGGAAACCCUGAUGGAGGACCGAAGCAAUUCUGACGUGCAAAUCGAUUGUCAGAAUUGGGCAUAGGGGCGAAAGACCAAUCGAACCAUCUAGUAGC
rnacentral:rRNA from 1 species